GACGAACGCUGGCGGCGUGCUUAACACAUGCAAGUCGUACGGUAAGGCCCUUUCGGGGGUACACGAGUGGCGAACGGGUGAGUAACACGUGAGUAACCUGCCCACAACUUUGGGAUAACGCUAGGAAACUGGUGCUAAUACUGGAUAUGUGCUCCUGCUGCAUGGUGGGGGUUGGAAAGCUCCGGCGGUUAUGGAUGGACUCGCGGCCUAUCAGCUUGUUGGUGGGGUAGUGGCCUACCAAGGCGGCGACGGGUAGCCGGCCUGAGAGGGUGACCGGCCACAUUGGGACUGAGAUACGGCCCAGACUCCUACGGGAGGCAGCAGUGGGGAAUAUUGCACAAUGGGCGCAAGCCUGAUGCAGCAACGCCGCGUGCGGGAUGACGGCCUUCGGGUUGUAAACCGCUUUCAGCAGGGACGAAGCUUUUUGUGACGGUACCUGCAGAAGAAGCACCGGCUAACUACGUG
rnacentral:rRNA from 1 species